AGUCAUUUCUGUGACAAAUUGAUGGGUGACCACCACUUGCAGGCUCUUAAGUUGGCACUAUUAGCACCAUAUCCUGAGCUUCAUCACACAGUCAUACAUAAGCUAUCUACAAUAUUACAGGAGUUGGAGAAAGUUGAAAUUGAUGAUGACGCUCUAUGCUUGCUGCUUGAAAACUGCCAUGUGCCACAAACUGUGGGUACACCAUACUACCAACCUCUCAUUGACUACCUGUUAGUGAAUCAGCACAAAUCUGAGGCAUCGCAUAACAUCGAAAAUGUGGUAGCCCAGUUAGAAGAAGCAGGACAUGCAGUAGAGGCUGGGUCAUUGUUGCUCUUGCAGCGCGGAUCAUGUCCGAACUUGUCUACAUUUGAUGCCGCAUUUGGCACUCUCUCACGGUGGCUUAAACGCUGAACAAGUAUCGAAAUCUAGGAAUUUUCCACGUAAGCUAGCUGUUGAUAUGAGUUUCAGUCUUGGAAUUGUUUCAUAACUAUGGCAUUACUAUAGCAACAUUUCUAAUGUCAGUAUUUGCAAUCGUGGGAUUUUUAUAGCGGCUUUUACGCUAUAUAACUGAUAUUAACAGGGUAUGCAGAACAAUGUGUUUGUUUGACAUAUAUAGACGUUUAUUUAGUUUAUUGCUCCUAUUCAUUACCUUGUUGGUUGAAUACAUGCUAGUAUACUGUAAUUUAAACCAAUGAUUUAAGUCAGAAUCUGGCUUUCAAUUUGAUUGGUCUCUGCAUGCGUAGAGGGAGAAAUGUGGGGGUUAAUUGUUAUUAAUUUGGUUGUUAUUGUUUAUGUUUUUGGUUUCUAUAUCAUUCUGAUAUUGGAUGACACUAUAAUGAUUGUGAUAUGAUCAUAAUACCUGCUUCCUAUGUCACUAUAUAUAGGAAGGUGCCGGUUUUAUAGUCUGUUGGACGGGAAGAGUGCACAUCUCUAAAGAAGUGGCUUGUCUGCACAUGGUCAAGUUAUAGUAGUGAAUGCAGGUUAUGAAUAAUGUAUCAUUGUAUGAGUCUGUUGGAAAAAUAUUUGAACUGGUACAACGAUAAUUAAGUUAUAGAUUGCAGCUCAUCUAAAUAAAGAAUUUUAAUGAGAACCAUGCAUGCACAAGCAGGCAACUUGAACUUUAUUUAUACAGCCUGUUUAAAUGUUUACUCUUGCAAUACGUACCUACAGGUACGUAUUGCAAGAGUAAAUAUUUCAUGUGCCGUUAACGAUACACGCAAUAUUUAAUUAAUUAAUUGUCAAUAUUGCAAUUGAUAUUUGGAAGGCUGUUUUCCUGAUGACAGUGAUGUUACAGAUGUAAUUUAAUCGGAGUGGAAACAGCAAUGCUCGCGAAAGUAACAUCAAAAUCAUUGAUGAGUUGAUGAUCAUUGAGGAGUUGGUGAUCGUUGCUCAUCACCCACCAGAAACUGCAAUUUAGAAAAAUUAUCAUAGGUGUUUGAAUAUCUCUAAUGUAAAGCAGAAAUAAUAAGUGACUCAUUAAACUAAUAUGUGAAAAUGAG